GAUGAACGCUAGCUACAGGCUUAACACAUGCAAGUCGAGGGGUAACGAGAGGAAAGCUUGCUUUCCUUGUCGACGACCGGCGCACGGGUGAGUAACGCGUAUCCAACCUGCCCCCAACUAAGGAAUAACCUUGCGAAAGUAAGACUAAUACCUUAUAAUUUCUUCAGAUGUCAUCUGACGAGGAAUAAAGAUUUAUCGGUUGUGGAUGGGGAUGCGUCUGAUUGGCUUGUUGGCGGGGUAAUGGCCCACCAAGGCAACGAUCAGUAGGGGUUUCGAGAGGAAGGUCCCCAACAUUGGAACUGAGACACAGUCCAAAAUCCUACGGGAGGCAGCAGUGAGGAAUAUUGGUCAAUGGGCGAAAGCCUGAACCAGCCAAGUAGCGUGCAGGAUGACGGCCCUAUGGGUUGUAAACUGCUUUUAUACAGGAAUAAAGUUAGCCACGUGUGGUUAUUUGUAGGUACUGUAUGAACAAGGACCGGCUAAUUCCGUGCCAGCCGCCGCGGUAA
rnacentral:rRNA from 1 species